GCCAAAAUCCUAACUAACCUCUCACAGUCACUAUCAAAACUCUCGUACUCACCAUCAAACCUCUCACACUCUAUCAAACUCUCUCACUCUCACUAUCAAAACUCUCACUCUCACUAUCAAACCUUCACAGUCACUAUCAAACCUCUCACUCUCACCAUCAAAACUCUCACACUCACUAUCAAACUCUCUCACUCUCACUAUCAAAACUCUCACUCUCACUAUCAAACUCUCUCACUCUCACUAUCAAAACUCUCACUCUCACUAUCAAACCUUCACAGUCACUAUCAAACCUCUCACUCUCAUUAUCAAAACUCUCACACUCACUAUCAAACUCUCUCACAGUCACUAUCAAACCUCUCACUCUCACUAUCAAAACUCUCACACUCACUAUCAAACUCUCUCACUCUCACUAUCAAAACUCUCACUCUCACUAUCAAACCUUCACAGUCACUAUCAAACCUCUCACUCUCACUAUCAAACUCUCUCACUCUCACUAUCAAAACUCUCACUCUCACUAUCAAACCUUCACAGUCACUAUCAAACCUCUCACUCUCAUUAUCAAAACUCUCACACUCACUAUCAAACUCUCUCACACUCACUAUCAAACCUCUCACUCUCACUAUCAAAACUCUCACUCUCACUAUCAAAACUCUCACACUCACUAUCAAACUCUCUCACACUCACUAUCAAACUCUCUCACACUCACUAUCAAACUCUCUCACUCUCACUAUCAAAACUCUCACUCUCACUAUCAAACCUUCACAGUCACUAUCAAACCUCUCACUCUCACUAUCAAAACUCUCACUCUCACUAUCAAAACUCUCACUCUCACUAUCAAACCUUCACAGUCACUAUCAAAACUCUCACUCUCACUAUCAAACCUCUUACACUCACUAUCAAACCUCUCACUCUCACUUUCAAACCUCUCACACUCACUCUCAAACCUCUCACUCUCACUAUCAAAACUUGAUAGCGAGUGUGAGAGGUUUGAUGGUGUGUGACUAG
ensembl:lncRNA